CCCGGCUCUCUAAACGUCACCGUUCGAUUCUUGUAAUCAAUGGUGGCAAAGUACUUGGUCAACCAAUCCAUGCCCAACACAACAUCAAACUCCCCGAGUUUAUGCAAGGCUAGCAAGUCCACGGGCAUGAUCCAAUCUCCAACCCGAACAGGGCAACUGGAGCAAAACUCCCGAAUGUCCAAAGAAUGAUCGAGUACAAC
rnacentral:lncRNA from 1 species